UACAGAGGGUGCAAGCGUUGUUCGGAAUCAUUGGGCGUAAAGGGCGUGUAGGCGGUUUGUUAAGUCAUGUGUGAAAUCCCUCGGCUCAACCGGGGAACGACGCAUGAAACUGGCAAGCUAGAGUACCAAAGAGGGGGGUGGAAUUCCCGGUGUAGCGGUGAAAUGCGCAGAUAUCGGGAGGAACACCGGUGGCGAAGGCGGUGCUCUGGGCCUGUGCUGACGCUGAGGAGCGAAAGCGUGGGGAGCGAACAGG
rnacentral:rRNA from 1 species